GACGAACGCUGGCGGCGUGCUUAACACAUGCAAGUCGAACGAAGUGGCGAACGGGUGAGUAACGCGUAAUCAACCUGCCCUUCAGAGGGGGACAACAGUUGGAAACGGCUGCUCAUACUCUAUAGUGUAGGAUGAGGCUAUAUUGUAUCAGCUAGUUGGUGAGGUAAUGGCUCACCAAGGCGAUGACGCAUAACUGGUCUGAGAGGAUGAUCAGCCGCACUGUAACUGAGGCACGGUCCGGACACCUACGGGAGGCAGCGAUAGGGAAACUUGCUCAAGGGGGGAGACCCUAGAGCAGCUACGGCGCGUAGAGGAUGGCAGUUUUCGAAGCGUAAACACGUUUUGUUCGGGAAGCGGUACCUAACGAAUAAGCACCGGCUAACUCCGUGCCAGCCGCCGCGGUAAUAC
rnacentral:rRNA from 1 species